CCGACAAUCAAUUUUUUAAAAACAUCUUCUAAUUCUAAAUUUCAGACAAAAAAAAAUAAAAAGACAACAAUUGAAUCGUUCAUCGACUGUAUCGACUCUGCUGCUUUCCAGAAUCUGAGACGAAGUUAUUGUACCAAAGAUUUAAUAGUAUGGAUCCGAUGAAAGAGAAGAGUAUUGGAUACAUGAAAACACAGAUCUUGCUGUACUCGGCCGUUUUGGAGAGCAGAUGAAGAUGGCGUGAAAUGUGACAGAAGAUGAAAAUCAGAUCUGCAAGGUGUGGGGAUGCCUCCAGAGAUAUGUAAAACGUGUAUAUCACAACUUCAAAGGAAAGACCAAGAGUUGUUAUUCAGGAAGUGCAAUAGCACCUAAACAACAAAAGAUAAGUUUACUUGCUCAAUAUCAUUGUUAAUAUAGUUUCAAUUUUUAAAAACUUCAUGGUUCCAAUCUUUAUUAAUUUAUAUAUUAUAUAUAUCAGAUGGUUAAAAUUAGUUAUAUUCUUUUACAGUGGUUAUGAAGAUGAUACCGAGUUUAUGAAGAUAAUGGAAUAGCUUUGAAAUUAUAAAAAGAAGCACACAUGGGUUUGUAUAUGGGAUAGACAACAAAAUGGAGAUAAGGAGCAUAACGGUUCUGAGAUGAGGAAUCACUAUGGAACAUCUAUUACGUAAAUUAAAAGUAGCCCAUACUUGUGGAAGCUACAUAUGGUGUUUGUGAAAGCGUGCCAAAUCUGGAAGAAGAUAUAGGUGGACUCUGAACAAUUUGCGAACCAAUACCACCACUUUGAGGUACAUAUAGAUGCGAGAUGUGAGGUGUACAAAAAAACACAAUAAGAAAAAUCAAUUACUCUUCAGAUGAGAUGGUUGAUCAUGGGAUAACACUGGUUUCUUUGGAUUUUUCAUCGAUGAUUGAUCUACUACUGCAUAGUCCCGCAAAACCCUUACGUGAGCUAAGGCGUAGCUUCGUAGCAGAAGUGGUAUCUGGAACCUCAAUAAUCUCUUCUCCUGAUCGCUUAGAAGGAGUGGCCAUCUUGACAGAGCUUUCAUCACUCUCCGAUUUUUGCAAAACGGAUGAGACAAACAACCACUCCAAACUGUGCUUCCUCUCUGUGAGAUUCCAUCUCCUCAGCAAACUUCCCCCACAAACAACAUGCUACUUACGUUGCAGAUAUAUCCAAAAUGCUAUCAUUAAAAGAAGUUGACUUAGAUAAACGUAACGGUAUUGCGCAGCCAUGUGUACGUUUGGUUACGCACUACUUCUGACGUCACAGCACAUCUUUUUUUUUUGAAAAUGUCACAGUACAUCUUACGUUAUCUUUGAUUAAAAUUAGUAUGAUUAUUAGGGGUGUACGUAGAUCGAAUACUACCAUAAUUCUUAGUAUUUCAGAUUUAUUUCGGAUUUUAUGAA